GUACUUCGUGUAUCUGGGUGGUGAUUAUUUUUGGUCAUGGAGUACAUGUGGUUUUCUGUUAUUUGAUGGUUUAUGUAUGCAUGUAGAGUUUGAGAUCAUGGUGAUACUAUUUUGAGGUUUUUUUUUUAUUCUUUUGUUUGCCUUAGCUUGCUUAAUUUGGAUAUAUAUUUUUUUAUUUAUUUUUAUCCUUUCUUCUCCGCAAAUGGUAAUGGAUUUUUUUUUUUAAAGUAAAAAAAUUACUCCUUUUUUUGUUUGCUCUUUUUCCCCUGCUAGGUUCCAAUAGUACAAGUGUUUUUUCUUAUUGCCCCUUUGAUUUUAUUCUGCUAAGUCUGUCUUUGUUGGAUAUGUA
rnacentral:misc_RNA from 1 species